rnacentral:rRNA from 1 species
UACGUAGGGUGCGAGCGUUAAUCGGAAUUACUGGGCGUAAAGCGCGCGUAGGCGGCUUUUCAAGUCGAUUGUGAAAUCCCCGGGCUCAACCUGGGAACUGCAGUCGAGACUGUCUAGCUAGAGUAUGGGAGAGGGAAGUGGAAUUUCAGGUGUAGCGGUGAAAUGCGUAGAUAUCUGAAGGAACAUCAGUGGCGAAAGCGACUUCCUGGACCAAUACUGACGCUCAUGUGCGAAAGCGUGGGGAGCAAACAGG